rnacentral:rRNA from 1 species
UACGUAGGGAGCAAGCGUUAUCCGGAUUUAUUGGGUGUAAAGGGUGCGUAGAUGGACAAACAAGUUGGUUGUGAAAUACCUCGGCUCAACUGAGGAACUGCAACCAAAACUGUAGGUCUUGAGUACUGGAGGGGAAAGCGGAAUUCCUAGUGUAGCGGUGAAAUGCGUAGAUAUUAGGAAGAACACCGGUGGCGAAGGCGGCUUUCUGGACAGAAACUGACAUUGAGGCACGAAAGUGUGGGGAGCAAACAGG